CCUACGGGUGGCAGCAGUGAGGAAUAUUGGUCAAUGGGCGUAAGCCUGAACCAGCCAAGUCGCGUGAGGGAUGAAGGUUCUAUGGAUCGUAAACCUCUUUUAUAAGGGAAUAAAGUGUGGGACGUGUCCUGUUUUGUAUGUACCUUAUGAAUAAGGCUCGGCUAACUCCGUGCCAGCAGCCGCGGUAAUACGGAGGAUCCGAGCGUUAUCCGGAUUUAUUGGGUUUAAUGGGUGCGUAGGCGGCCUUUUAAGUCAGCGGUGAAAGUCUGUGGCUCAACCAUUGAACUGCCGUUGAAACUGGGAGUCUUGAGUAUGUUUGAGGCAGGCGGAAUGCGUAGUGUAGCGGUGAAAUGCGUAGAUAUCACGCAGAACCCCGAUGGCGAAGGCAGCCUGCCAAGCCAUGACUGACGCUGAUGCACGAAAGCGUGGGGAUCAAACAGGAUUAGAUACCCUUGUAGUC
rnacentral:rRNA from 1 species